UACGUAGGGAGCAAGCGUUGUCCGGAAUCAUUGGGCGUAAAGCGCGCGUAGGUGGCCUCAUAAGUCCGUUGUGAAAGUCAAAGGCUCAACCUUUGAAAGCCGAUGGAUACUGUGAGACUAGAGUACGGAAGAGGCGAGUGGAAUUCCUGGUGUAGCGGUGGAAUGCGCAGAUAUCAGGAGGAACACCAAUAGCGAAGGCAGCUCGCUGAGACGUUACUGACACUGAGGCGCGAAAGCGUGGGGAGCGAACAGG
rnacentral:rRNA from 1 species